rnacentral:rRNA from 1 species
AUAGCUCGUUCUCCCCGAAAUAGCUUUAGGGCUAGCCUCGCGUGAAUACUGCGGGUGGUAGAGCACUGGAAGAGCUAGGGCCCUUCACCGGGUACCAAACUCUACCAAACUCCGAAUGCCCGUUCGUCAUGCGCGGGAGUCAGACGGUGGGGGCUAAGCUUCAUCGUCAAAAGGGAAAGAGCCCAGACCCACAGCUAAGGUCCCUAAAUCCAUGCUAAGUGGAAAAGGAGGUGGGGACGCACUGACAGCCAGGAGGUUAGCUUAGAAGCAGCUNNNNNNNNNNUACCAGGUUACUGAAUCCAAUCAAACUUCGAAUGCCGCUAACAACAGCUUGGGAGUCAGACAGUGGGGGCUAAGCUUCAUUGUCGAGAGGGAAAGAGCCCAGAUCAUCAGCUAAGGUCCCAAAGUGCAGACUAAGUGGAAAAGGAAGUGGAGACGCACUGACAGCCAGGAUGUUGGCUUAGAAGCAGCCAUCCUUUAAAGAAAGCGUAAUAGCUCACUGGUCAAGCAGCUCCGUGCCGACAAUUCAACGGGGCUCAAGUCUGCCACCGAAGCUAUGAACUUGAACUGCUGCGGCAGUUCAUUUGGUAGGGGAGCGUUCUGUACAGUUCGAAGCGGCACCGUAAGGAGCCGUUGACGGUACUGAAGAGACCCUGCCGGCAUAAGUAGCGAUAAACCAGGUGAGAACCCUGGUCGCCGAAAGUCUAAGGUUUCCUGAAAAAGGUUAAUCCGUUCAGGGUUAGUCGGUCCCUAAGUCGAGGCCGAGAGGCGUAGACGAUGGGUAACAGGUCAACAUUCCUGUACUAUGAAGUGGACGUUAUCACGAUGGGGUGACGCAGGAGGAUAAGCGGGAUCUCUGAUGGAUGGGAUUUCACGAUCGAGAGGGAUUGGGUUGGCAAAUCCGCCCGAUCAUUAACCUCGAGAGUAGUGACGAGCUCGCAAGGGCUGGAUAAAGUCGCUGACUUCACACUGCCAAGAAAAACCUCUAAGGAGUCUGCUUUGUAACCGUACCGUAAACCGACACAGGUAGACGAGGAGAAUAUCCUAAGGCGCUUGAGAGAACACACGUUCAGGAACUCGGCAAAAUAGCUCCGUAACUUCGGAAUAAGGAGUGCCCCGGUAGGGUUUAUAGCCCGAGGGGGUUGCAAUGAAAUGGCCCAAGCGACUGUUUAACAAAAACACAGGUCUCUGCAAAGUCGAAAACGAAGUAUAGGGGCUGACGCCUGCCCGGUGCUGGAAGGUUAAAGGGAGAGGUUAGCCGCAAGGCGAAGCUUUGAAUUGAAGCCCCAGUGAACGGCGGCCGUAACUAUAACGGUCCUAAGGUAGCGAAAUUCCUCGUCGGGUAAGUUCCGACCUGCACGAAUGGCGUAACGAUUUGGGCGCUGUCUUAACGUGUGACUCAGCGAACUUGUAGUACCGGUGAAGAUGCCGGUUACCCGCAUCUAGACGGAAAGACCCCGUGCACCUUUAC